UGUGAAAUCAUAAUCUAGUCAAUUACAUGCAAAACAACCAACAUAAUUAUCAUUGAUUGCAAGAUAUAUGUCCAUGCAAAUGUAUAUCAUUGGUCAGGACUCAGAAAAGACGGAUUUGUUUUUUUUUUUUAAGAUGGAAAGAAAACUGGAAAACACUCAAGCUAUGUUGUCAUUUGUCGAAAAGCAUUAAAAGAAACCAACCCUUUGUCUGUUAGUUCAAAUUGUUCAUGUCUUUAUAGUAAAAGUACGAGAAUGUUUUUCACAAGUUGUGCAACACCAAGGCUUUCUAGAAACCUGGCAUACAUAUAACUCGACCUAAAUCAUGAUGUGAAAUUAUUAGUAUGUUUUUAAUAUAAAAAGUCAAACUACACAAUAAUUACAUGGCAACGACUCAUUGAAGCAUAAAAUAUGUUCUUCAAUUUUAUGCUAACUGGAGUAUUAAUUUUGCUACAAACCAAACCUAAUAUUCAUUUAUUAACUAUAAAAAGCAUGAAAUCAUGAGAGGAUGUCACACAUAUAAACAUCUGCGGACUGCCUUGCACGUAACGAACGCGUCUAAUGAUUUUGUAUUUAUAACAUAAAAUUUGGACCCAUAUUUUGUGCGUUGUAAUCUUAAAAUAAAAAUUUAAUGUUUAUCUGUAGAAUUAAUGUAAGAUUUGAUAUCAACAGGGAAAUACCAAGAGAUUGAAGCUGUCACGAUAAGUAUUAAGAUUAUAGUUUUAAAAUUUAAUAAGCGGACUGAUGCAUGUAGGCCUUACCGCCUACACCACACACCUCAGCGUUACAACUUACAACUCCUCAGAUGGGCCAUUACACUUAGAAAAACAUUUCAUAUGCGAUCACAAUAUUAUUAAGUGAAAUUUAUAUUUCAAAUGGCAAAACAUUUCUUAUAUUUCAUAUGCGUUAAUUAUUGCUAACUUCAUGUUCCAAAUGGCAACACUGCAACAGUUUGGUAACUGCCUAAAAAGUCGCAUUUCACUGUUUAGUAAUUUAUGAUCCUAUAGUUCGGGAAAAGUUUUUAAUAUAAAAAGAUAAAUUAACAGUAACUAGUUACAAGGUUAACUUGUGUGAAUAAACACGCUAAUACUUAUUAGUGCAUUUUUGGAUAGUUAAUGUAUCUAUAUUAUUAUAACAGAAACAUCUAUAUUAUUAUAACAGAAACAUUGUGUUGGACCAAACAUUUACUUUGUAAGUUUUUAAAUUAAAUACAUCUUUCUACUUUAUAGUUAAACAUACAUUAAAUUACUAAUAUUUUGUUUUUAUACUACUAUCAAUGUUUUUAAACAAUAUACUCAUAUCUUUAUACUACUAUUCAUAUUUCCAAACAACACUAAAACUAAUCUUGUGUCCAAACUAUAUAAAAUAUUAGAAGUCAUCUUUUUAAUAAUUUAUAACAGUUUUCUUUCAAAUCAUUUAUAUAAAUUAAAUAACUGAAAAUUCAAAUAAUUUAUAAAACAACGAAAAAAUUGAACUUAUUUUUACAGGUUUAAAUACUAAAAAAACAUUUUAAUCAAUAAUAAAUUAAUUAAAUUAACAUAUUAUUUUAUUUAUAUUACUAAAUAAUAGUUAUAUCAUUUAUUUAAGUAACAUAAUAAUUCAAUAAUAGCCAUUACAUAUAUAUAUAUAUAAACGUUAUACAUUGUACAGUAAAUAUAAUAACAAAAUAAUUAUGAAAAAUGUUCAAAAUAUAUGUUAUCUAAAGAAAAAUGCUUAACACUAAUUGUUAACAACAAAUUUAACCGAUUAUAAUAUAUAUGAUUAACAAGAUAAAUUACACAACAUAAUUAUAAUAAAAUUAAUUAAGCAAUAUGAAAAGAAGUAAUAUGAUCAAGACAUAUUUACAGUUGUUAAUUCCUUAUAUCUAUCAUUUUCUCUAUCAAAAUUUUGUGCAAACGUUAUAAUUUCAUAAAAUUGUAAAACAAUGAACAAUAAAAUUUGGAUUAAAAGGUGAAAAAUUAUGAAACUAUAAUAAUAUAAAUCAAAUUGGAUUACAUAUCAGUCAUCCAUCGGUUAGUCUCGAGUUUUAGUGAUUUUUCAAAUAUGUAAAUUUUUAAAAACCUAAAUCAAAUUAUCGGAUGUCUAGAUUAACCACUUUGACCGCAUGUUCGGGUCAAAUUUAAAUGCAAAAAUAUUUUAAAUACAAAUUUUUUUUACAAAUUAAAAAAAACUAUUUGUUAAAUUAUUAGUGCUUAAAAUAAUCCGUGUUUGCAAAGAGUGAGUCAAAAUCUAGUUAAAUAGUUAAUUCAUUUCAUUGCACAAUUAAGAUCUUGCCUUUAGGUAUUAGUAAUAAUUAAAUCUUAGGGGUUAAUUUGUUCUUUAACACUAUGGUUUAGGGUGUAGCUUUCUCAUGUUAGUUCUCUUAUAGAUAGUAUAUUGUACACUAAUAAGAUUAAGUUCAUGAUUUUUUUAACGUUGAGGAUUUAGGGCUUAGUAAUAGGAUUUGUGGUUUAAGGAUCAUGAUUUACCAUUUAUUUACUUUUAAAUUUAUAAAAGUGAAAAUUGUGUCUAUAAACUUUAGCAUAUUUUGAUAUAUAUAUAUAUAUAUAUAUAUAUAUAUAUGUUUAUGUUAUAUAUAUGUAAGUAUAGAUGAAUGAUAAACCUUUUAACCAAAAGUACAUAUCAAUGAUAAAUAUUAUCAAUAUUAUCAAAACAGGAACACUAUUUUGGACUUACAUUUUAUUAUAUUUCUAGAACUGAACCAUUAUAUUAAUUAUGCACCAUAAUAUAUCAAAAACCAAUUUAAUUAUUCUACUAAUACAAUUAAAUAUUUAAACAUCUCAGAAUAAAAUAACUAAAAUAUUCAUAAAUUUUUUCUAAGACUGAAAUGUAAUAAAAUAUAUUUAUAUAAUUUAAAAAUAUAAAUAUACAAAUUUUUUUACAAAAUUUAAAACUUUAUAAAUAUAUUAAUACUAAAUAAUGAAUAAUUAUUUAUCAACAUUUAUUAUACAUUAGUAUUAAUCUAAUUGAACUUAAAUCCAUAACAUAAAAUUUAUAAUAUUGUAUAAAUAAAAUUAUAGCAUUUUUGAAUAUUAAAUUAAAUAAUAAAUAUAGUAAAUUAAAGUAUAUGUACGCAGAAAACAACAAUUUUUUCUAGAUAUUAAAAUAUACAUUAAUUUAAAAAGUUCUUAAGUAAAUAUUAUAUCAAUGAAAAUUAAUUAUAAUAUAUAAAAACAAUUCUAAAAUUUAGAUAUUAAUUAUUGGAUUAAUAUAUUUUUAUUUGAUAAAAAUAUUAAAAUUAAUAUUCUUUUAUAAUAUAGUGGAAUGAGUUACUAUUGAAAUAUUUAUGAUUGUUUUUUUACAGGUUAUUUUACCAAUCAUGCAGUAUAUUAAUCAAAUACAAGAUGGUUUUAACAAAAACAUUAUCUCAUUUAUAUUUAAAUGUUUUUAUAAAAAAAAAACUUGAUCAAUGCAAAACAUUUUAUGGGGUGUACUAUUACGUCUCAAUUUAAAUUUGUCAGAAAUAAAGUAAAACAAAUUCAAGACAUACAGUGAAAACUAAUUCUUAAUACAAAUUGCAACAAAAAAUAUAUUUAUAGUUAUUUUGCUACGUAGUCCUCACUAUAACGCAAUAUCAUAGUUUUAAUAAAUGAAUCAUUAUAAAUUUAAUAUGUAUUGUGUUUAUUUAUAAUAAUUUGGGUUACUGAAUAACAUAUGUGUAUAUAAUUUUUUUAAAAAUAUUUCUUGUCAAAUAAAUUUUUAUAUAAAUAUAACUAUAUAUUUAUAUUUAUAAGAACUUCAAUUUCAAAAAAAUAAUUACAACUACUAUGCACAAAAUUAAUUAAAAUUAUAUAAAACUUAAAAUACGUAAAUUAUGGAUGCAAUUGUAAUUUUUAUUAAUAAAAUUUUGUAAACAAAAAUAAUCAUACGCUUUAAAAACACUGAUGACUAGUCCAAGAUGAACAGUGAUGAACAAGUCAUAUACGCUACCUUUUAAAUACUGUAGUCUAACUCAAGAUUACGUUUGUCGAUAAACGCAUAAAAAGUAUUAUUUUGGCUAUUAUGUCCAAAUUAUCUUGGUCAAAGAAAUUAUAUACUGAAGAAUCGUAUAAUUUUGUAACUACAAAUAUUGAUGUAAUGAAUAAGAACAAAUAUAUGAUUCAGGUUUUGCAAUAUCAUUAGAUUUUUUUGUUCUUCUUAUCAAUACUAUUAAAACAGAAGGUCCCUUUUUGAGGUGCCCUCCUGUUUCAACAAUAUUUACAAGAUACUGCCACUGGAAUAUUUUUAAGCUAUGAUUUUAAUUAAAUUCUGUAUUUUUUGAAUUCCUUUUUAUUUUAACAGCAAAAAUCCUUUUAUUUAAAAGACAACACCUACGUUUAAUUAAUUAUGUCUUCAUAUCAAAACAUAAUGUAUCAUCCUAUCAAAACAUAGUGUAUUCAUUACGAUCAACAACUACGUUUAAAACAAACUUCAAUUGCUACAACCAAUGUUUUUAAACCCGACACGGACACUGAACCGGACUGCUUACCGGUUUGCUGGGUCACUGGGUCGACCGCGGGUGAACCGCGGGUUAAUAAAUUAACUAAUUUUAUUAUAUAAUAAUAUCUCAGGUAUGUAAAUAAAAUUAUAAAAACUAAAGUUUAUUAUUUUCUAAAUUUUUUAAAACAUAAAAUAAUAGUUUGGAUAUGUAUAUAUUUUAUGUUUAAAAUUUAGAAAAUACUUAACUUUAGUUUUUAUAUUUUUAUUUUCAUUUGACAUACAAAAUAUCAAAAAAAUAGUUUAGACUAUUUAAAAUUUUCUCGAAUAAGAUAAGAGCUAUGACAUCUAAAAUAAAUCAAAACAUAAAAUUUAUAAAUAUUUAAAUAUUUAAAUGUAUAAUGUGAAUAAUAAAUUAAACUACAAAUACAAAAUAAACCAAAAGUAAAAAAAUCAUUGUAAUAAAUUAUCAAUAAUAGAAAUAAACUAACACCAAAUAACAUCAACUACUUUUGGUUCUCUCUACCAUCGUUCACUUUAUUUUCUUCAGGUGACAUAGUGAAAUCUUCAUCAAAAUCUAAAAAUCACAAAUAUAAAAUUGAAAAAAGAAAACAUAACUUUUUUUUUGUCAAUACCUAACAUCUUAAUUGAAAACUUAGAAUAUAAAACAAAAUUAAAAACUAGAAAAAGGAAAUAAAAGUUAUUUAUUGGUUCGGCCGAUGGUUCAACCGGUACCGGAUUCCGUGUUUUACCGGGUUUUUGCGGUUUUUUGCGGGUUUCUAAAUAUUAGGUUUUUUACAAAAUCCAAACCGGAUUUUUUUGGGUUACCGGAUUUACCGGUUCAACCGCGGGUCCGGGUCGGGUUUCAAAACACUGGCUACAACACACUUAUUUUUAUUUCUUAAACAGUCUAUGUACCAAAUCUAUCGACACCGAAGUGAAUUCUGCAAGCUGCCAAAUAAAAACAAUACAUUCUGUUAAUAUCAGUGUAUCAUCGACCAUUUAUCACGUCCAAUCAAUGUUUUGGUUACAAACAAUUGCACAAAAAACAUAAAUGUUGCAUUAUUCAAAAUCUAUAAAAAAUGGUCGUAUUAUAUAUUUUUAAGCUAGCAUUUUUAUAUGUAUAGUAUGAGAUACAAACAAACCCAUAAACCCCAAAUACUUUUUUAUAUUUUAAUUUAUUAAAAUAAGCAAUGUCAUGAUACCAAUCUUUUUUCAAAUCAAUCACCAUAAUAUCUAUACCAUUAAAUAAAAACGUAAAUUUAAGCAAAUAAACUAAUCAAAACAAUAAAAUUUUAUAUAAUAAAUACACAUAAUUAGAAUCCUAAACCGUAAACCACUCUGCAAUAUAGUCGACCAUACUAUUGGAUUUAUAAAUCUUUUUCAAAUCAAUAACCAAAAAUACAAACCACUAAAUCAAAAGCUAAAAAUUUAGCAAAUAAACUAGAUUUUCGAAAGUUCCAUACAUAACCAUAUCCACUAUACUAGAUCAUAAAUACCAAUCUUUUUUCAAAUCAAUAACCAUAAAUAUCUAUACCAUUAAAUAAAAAAGCUAAAAUUUAAGCAAAUAAACUAAAUUUUCGGAAGUUGCUUCAUGUUUUCUUACUUGCAAAAAAAAAAAAACGUUAUCUAAUUAUACGCGAUUCUUACUAGCAAAAAAAAAACUCACACGCAAAAUAUUCCAAUUUCAAACUUAAAAUAUAAAACCACCAAUCUGAAAUAUAGUUAAACUCUAAUAAAAUAUAUUCUGUUUCAAAAAUAUUUUGUUAAUCAAUAACGAAGUAUAUGCCAAGUAAUAUUCUUUAUUCAUCAAAUACCAAUUAUUAACAAUCCCUUAAACCUCCUACCGAAAUAUCCGCCAUCCUAACAAAUUUACUGUCAAAUAACGAUAUUUACUUAGCUUAUUAACAUAAUAUACCUUAUUAUCAUUCAACUGAAAUAGCAUCCCUAAAAAUAAUCCGAAUAUUCUUUCAAAACCUAUCUAUUGUAGGCUAUAUAUAACUACCGUUGUCAAACAAUCAUCGCCACACACAAAUUUUCUUUUUUCUUUUCGAAACCGCAAAGAAACGCAAAGAACAAAUAAAAUUCCGUUCCUUUCAAAACUGAAACCUAACAGAACUGAUUGGUACAUCCAAUUGAAAGUAAUCCACACCUGGGAGCAAAUAAACUAGAAAUUUGGUGAAACGUUUUCGUUGACAAGAAGGUAAACUGAAAAAUGCAUAGUCUACUCAAUUAUAUUGUUUCAGUUACAUCUUGAUUUUUUUUUCUGUGUAUAGGUAUGGAUUUGGUUGGACUUAGCCUCAUAACUUUCAUCAUCAAUCAUACAACGUGUAGACUUUGACUGUAAAAUUACAAAAAAAAACAUUAGUUAAAUUUGGAUUUUACAAAUAUUAAAUAUAUUAUAGUUAUUGUUUUUUUUUGAAACACUAUUAUAGUUAUUGUAAGCGUUGAAAUUUUUAUACCAUUGUAUGAAAACUUAUCUUUUCUCAGGUUUGUUGUUUUGUGAUAUUGGUUAGAGUCACAUGAAUAAAGCUUUGCCUAUACAAAUGUCACUGCACAGCCUGCACAUGAGUAAAUAUAUUAAAUUUUCAAACCAAAAUGAGUAAGAUCAAACAAAGAUCAUAUACCACCAUUUCAAUAUGAACGGAAAUAUAUUAUAACAAUUUGUUUGGAAAGAUGUGAGAAAAGUGCAUGAAACAAAUUCCAAAAAUAGUUAAAAAAACUUUAGAUAUUUAUUUUUUAGUGUUUAACUACACUCGAUUAACCAACUAUAUAACGAAUAAGAGAAAUAUUUGAAAGUCUAUUGACCUGAAGUGAUUGAUGUUUCUUGAUCCUUUAACUCCGGUUCUUCGUUUUUUCUUGAGGGAUACUUUUUCAGAUCUUCUUCAGACAUAUACGAGACAAACAGAAUUAACCGACUAAUCAGAUCAUUCAUUGGAUUCGACAUGCAAACCUUAUCUGGAAAAAAAAUGAUUUUUAGAUCAUAAGUAAUGGUUUCGAUGAGCCUAUGAUACAUUAAUCAAAGAAAAAUAAGUUAUUGGAGAUAUACCUUCAACCAUCUGUGUUGAUGGAUCAUGUUUCAUCAUGUUAUCAAAGCAUUUUGAGAGAGAGACGAACUCAUUUUUCUGAGGAAGCUUAUUCUGGAAAGGCAAAAAGACAGGUUGUUGUUCUGUCGGUUGGUAGUGAUGAACCAUGGGCCUGAGUGAUAUUGAAAAAUAUCAACAUAAGUUAUAAACCCAACUUACACUAACAUUUUAUUAUCCUCAUUUUGAGUUUCAGUUUGUAAAACCCAGUUGUAUUCGAUUAAUUUUUAAACAUAAAAAUGGAACUUCUUUGUUUUGUAUUAAUCAGGCCCAAGGAGUUUUUAAACAAUUUUAAAAUAAUUAUCAGAAUGGUCAAUAUAUCUAGAAUGUUUUUCCCUUAUAAUAAAUUUAAUUAAGAGCAUUUUCAAAUUGCAAAAGUAUUGUUUUAAAAUAAAUACAAUCAUCUUUUGUUUAUUAAAAUUAUACGUAAUAAAGUGUAAGUUUUGUUUAAUUAUCAACAAUUAUUUUAAAUUGCAUUUCAUUUUCUUCCAACAGAAAAAUACAAGUAGCAAAAUUUUAACUUAGCUAGAUUUUAUUAUAGACAAAUUAAUAUUUCAUUUAUACAUUUAUCCUUAACAAUUAUUAAAAAUCAGUUAUUUAUCAAAUGCAAGACAUAUUUUAGAAACAAAUUUAAACCUCGACAUAUAAAUAGAGAACUUAGGGGUACUCUUUUUUUUUCCCAUAUAGAUCCGAUCCAGCCGGACAGAGCAUCUCUUUGAAACGACUCAGACCCGCCUACCACUUGAUCUUAGAAGAUGGAUGUCGCCAAAAAAAAAUAGAGAACUGAAUCGGUAUACAAAUAUCCAAAACUAACCAAACCGAAUUCAAGCCCAAAUUCAUAAAUAAUCAAAAAAAAAUUAUCACUCGAACCGAACAACUAUAAACCGAAAUCAAACUGAAAACUCAAAAAAUAAAAAUAGAAGCGAACCUAAAAUUAAUACACCAAGUAUAAAUAUAUAACUCAAAACAAACAAGCGGGUAAAUAAAUGGAAAAGCAAAAAAUAAUUUACGAAAGCACGGGUCAAAAUCUAGUCAAUACAAUUAAAACAGAAGACCCUUUUUUGAAGUACCCUUCUGUUUCAACAAUAUUUACAGAACCAUGCCACUGCUUUAUUUAAAACCUAUACUUUUAAUUAUAUAGAAAUAUUCAACUAAAUAUCUUUUAAUCUAAAAAUUAUUUUUUUAUUUAAUUUCCUUUCUUUUACUUUCAACGUAGUGAAUAUAGUUGGAGGAAUUAGAUUUCUUUCCAGUUUUUAGAUUCGAUGAAGGAGCUUUGUUGAUUCCCAAAACUUUAAAAAAUUCUCAUGGGUUCUUCCAUUCUUUUUUUUCGUCCAUUGUUCUACCAAUUAGUUAAAAAAUAGUCUCUUUGCUCUCUUAGCAACAAGAUUGAGAAAUAGGGAGACUUUGCUCUUCACCUUCUUCUCUUUUCUCUCUGUGACUUCUUUUUGCUGAUUCAUCUUUCUUUUUCUCACUGAUUAAGCUCUCAAGUCUCAGGUCUGUGUAUGCUCUUUCUUCUAGACACAUUUUUUGGGUUUCCACCUGAUUUACAUUGCUAGGAAAACAAAUGCAGACAUAUAAAAGUUUAAGAGCAAUUCUAUCUGAGUCAAUCACCGGCAGACGAACUCGUGUUGCCUAGCAUAUCAAAAGGUAUUCGAUCUAUUCUAUGUUCCAAUCAGCGUUGUUAUUCAGUUGUUAUUUCCUUGUGUGGUUUACGGUGUUCUUUCACUGUUAAGGUUUGUCUUGAUUUAUGUCCUGUCAUAGAAAGUUUUUUGUUGUGAAUUUCGUGUAAGGAGCUUUUGAAAGAAACAAUGCCCAAACAUAAGGCUGUAUUGAUCUGGUAUUUUAUUUCCUCAGAGGAGUGUUCGUCUCUGAUUGAUGGAGUUGAUGUGUUUGUAAAUUUUAAGGUGAGAAGUUAGUGCUGGAAAGAAACAUCACUUCCUCUGCAUUGUUUCCUUCUCAAAACAGUUAAGUGUUUCAAGUAAUGCACCAACAAAAGAAAAAUUAGCUCCAGUGAUUCUGCCGAGAUUUAUGUCAAUACUUAAGCAUAUUUUGUAUAUAUAUGUCGAAUAAUCCUCAUCAUUAAUAUUUUUAAAUCGAUGAUUCUAUACAGCUAUUGUAAUAUUUAUUGUUAAAAAAAUAUAUUGAGAUCUUAAGAGAUUUAGAAUUUGUGAUCAACACAAAAAUUUAAAACGUUACAUAACUAACAAAUAUAAUAUCACUAUCUAACUACCACUAUAUAGUAUAUUAUAAACAUGUACAAAUAAGAGUGUUUCUAAUACAUAGAUAAGUGUACUAAGCAUAUAUUUUCCCUAACUAAGAGGAAUGUAUUGAAUUAAAGGUUUUAGAAGAUUUUAGAGUAUUUUAAUUUUGGUUGGAUUUAGGUGAAAUUUGAAAUUAUUUGAGUGAUUUUAGUAAAACUUAAAAAUAAAAAUGAAACCAAUAGGUGAUUUGGUAUGAUAUUUUCUAAAAAAUUUCAAAGUUGUUUAAGUGAUUUGAAAUGAUAAUAUAUAUAUUUUAAGCUUGGACAUUCGGGGUCCCAAUCGGAUUUCGGAUUUCGGCUUUGUCUAAUCGGGUUUUGGUUAUUUAGGUUUAUCAAAAUCAGUCAUAUUUGGGUUAUAUCGGGUUCAGGUCGAGAUUAGUAAAUCAUCAGAGAACCGGUAUAACCCGAUGUAAUUUUGGGUUCGGGUCCCAAUCGGUUCUUUAGUUUAAAAGUAUCUUAUUUAUACCUAAUUUGUAGUCAAAACAUAAGUAAAGUCAGUUCUUUGAUUUUAGAGUAUCUGAUUUGUACUUAUUUUAUGACCGAAACAUAAGUAAAAUCGAUUCAAAAAUAAAAAAAGAAACAUCAAACGUGACCACUUAAAAUCAAAUAAAAUGUAAACAUAGUAAUUAAUCGAAAGAAAACCAAAUAACUAAAAGAAUAAACGACAACAAAGUUCUCAUGAAACGAAAAACAUUAUUCAAUGAAAACAAAACCAAAAUAUAAAAAUUUCAAGCCUCAACCGUCACCUUCAACCAUCAAACUUCAUGCAAUAGAUAAUUAUCUUAGAAGUAUAUUAAGAAUUGAAACUAAUUUGAAAAAUAAUCAAUAUAAUUUGAAAAACCAACAACUAAUUUGUUUGUUUUUUGAAGUAUAUACAAAAUUUAAAAUAAUAAAAAUAUAUUAGGAAUUUUAAAAAUAAAUUAAUUCUCAAAUCAAUACUAUUAAAACAGAAGACCCUUUUUUGAGGUGCCCUUCUGUUUCAACAAUAUUUACAAGACAAUGCCACUAGAUUAUUUUUAAACUAUGAUUUUAAUUAAAUUAUUAAAGCAUUAUUUACUUAUUUCACAAAAUCUUCUUUUCCAACAAACUAAUCUAUUAAAUCAUUAAAGCUAUCGUAACCUAACUAAUCUUAUAUUAUUUCUCUAUACUAAAACAAAAAUCUAACUAUAUUAUUUCUAUUAACAUAACCAAUCGUAAACCAUAUGUUUUUUUUUUUUGAAGUAUAUGGUGUUGUGUGGGUUUUACGUAUUGAAACUUACACCAUCGAAUAACAUACAAGAUUUUCAAAUUGACAUGUAAUAUAUAUACAUAAAAUACAUUAUAUCAGACUUUAUGUAUAUAUAUUACAUGUCAAUUUGAAAAUCUUGUAUGUUAUUCGAUGGUGUAAGUUUCAAUACGUAAAACCCACACAACACCAUAUACUUCAAAAAAAAAACAUAUGGUUUACGAUUGGUUAUGUUAAUAGAAAUAAUAUAGUUAGAUUUUUGUUUUAGUAUAGAGAAAUAAUAUAAGAUUAGUUAGGUUACGAUAGCUUUAAUGAUUUAAUAGAUUAGUUUGUUGGAAGAGAAGAUUUUGUGGAAUAAGUAAAUAAUGCUUUAAUAAUUUAAUUAAAAUCAUAGUUUAAAAAUAAUCUAGUGGCAUUGUCUUGUAAAUAUUGUUGAAACAGAAGGGCACCUCAAAAAAGGGUCUUCUGUUUUAAUAGUAUUGAUAUUAGAGCAGAAAAACUAGCGCCCAAUCAUUAUAAUUCUCAAUGUUCCACAAAUCAACUUUUGUGAAACAGAAACUAAACAAAUGGUUAGUUUAUAACAAACUGACGAAUAUGCUGAAAUGAUAUUAGAUGGUAUAAAACUUUUUUUUAACAACAAGAUGGUAUAAAAUUACAUUCAUCAACAGCUUCACAAAAGCAUUCACCACAAAUAACAAAAAAAGACUAAUCAGUCGUAAAAUUAAGUUUUCUUAGCAAGAUUAAACCUUUUAAAACUUUUUGGCGGAUUCAAAUCAAAGUGCUUCACUCAUGGAAGCAAUUCACAGCCAGAUCCGAAGCAAGCUUGGAGAUCAUAUUCUCAUAUGCAUAUGUAAGUGCGCUUUUGAGGGUUUUUGGUAUAUUACGGUCUUAUUCAUCUAUAUUAAGUACUGCAUUACAUAUAAUGAUCACAUAUACACCAUAAUAUUUUUUUUUUUAGUUUUCAUUUCAUAACUAACAUAAUCAGUUCUAUCCCUAACUUAUAAAAUUAUUAUAAUUUUUUCCGUCAAUUGUGCUUAACAGAAUCAGUUCUAUGCUGAUCUAAAAAGAAUACUUUCAUUGCUUUCUUUUAUCUCACUUAAACUUCACUGCUCCUUCUACAGAUCCUACAGAACAUUAAAAUUUUCUAUAAGAACAAAAACAAUAUUGUAUCAACAUUAGUAGUUUCAUUAUAACAAAUACAACAUUAUAUAAGGCAUCCAGAGACUUAUAUACGUGUUGUUUCAGGCAGUUUAGAAAUUCCUAAAACAAUUCCAAAGUAGAAUAGUUAAUUAAUUUCCAACUAUACAUACUCUAUAUAACUGGCUAUGAGGACAAAUUAAAACAAUUAAAUCCAAGCAGGUUAAAUUUUUGUAAGGAAUUAAUUUAUUAAAAAAAAGCCUUACGAAAACUUACGUCUUUGAACAAAAAAAAAUUCACCUCACUAAAAUCUUGAAGUUAAGAAAUAGCAUUACUUACAUGAGUUCUUUGUAAACUGCAUCAGCUGCUUUCAUUUAUUUUCUUAUGUGUCCUUCGAAGCUUGACUAAAUCAGAAAAUUACGAGAUAAAAAAAUCCAACAAGUACCAGAUUAAACCAUGCGUGUUUCUUCUUCGAAAAGGACCCCACUUCAUCUUCCUGAAUUAUUUGCUAAUUCCUUAUCUUCCAACAUCACCUCAUCUUCACUUUGUUUUUAUGUUAGAUCCAUCUGAUUUUUUUUUCUGUCAACAGAUUCAUCUGAUUUAAACCAUGCAUGUGAAGAAUACUUAUACACACAAAAAUCCAGAAAUUAAAAAAGGUCAAAGAAAUUGAACAAAUACCUUUAGAACGUUGAGAAAUCUCUAAUUAAACAUAUGCCUUUGAGAUAUAUUGAUAUUACUUUACAUAUCUCUCUCAGGAUUUACUGUAUAUAUAUAUUUGAGCAGUUUUUAAUAAAUUAUAAAAUGUUUAAGGUUGUACUAGAUUACUUUUUGGAAAACAAAUUAUGUAUACAAUUUUACCCCCAAAUAGUAUUCUCAUUGACAAAGUGAUAUAUAAGUGAUAUUGAAUUAUGUGUUAAUUUGUUUAAAAAAAAUCAUUAACACUAAAUUAAAAUUUUCAAUUGCAAAAUCCAUAAUUGUAAGUUUGUAACCUUUACAUAACUACUACAAAUCUCAAAAAUUUAAUUGUAACCUUUACAUAACUACUAAAAAUCUCAAAAAUUUAACCAUUAAAUAAACACAAUAGAUGUAGAUUAUAUCUAAACUCUUCCCAAAAUUCAUAAAUGCAACCCUUAUAAAUACUAAAGAAUUCAUACAAAUAUAUAUAAUGAUGUCUUUGUUGCAAAAAAUGUGAUACAAAAUCAAAAAUACAAACUGAUAUCAAAUUCAAAAAUACAAACUGGUAACAAA